rnacentral:rRNA from 1 species
AUUGAACGCUGGCGGCAUGCCUUACACAUGCAAGUCGAACGGUAACAGGUCUUCGGAUGCUGACGAGUGGCGAACGGGUGAGUAAUACAUCGGAACGUGCCCGAUCGUGGGGGAUAACGAAGCGAAAGCUUUGCUAAUACCGCAUACGAUCUACGGAUGAAAGCAGGGGACCGCAAGGCCUUGCGCGAACGGAGCGGCCGAUGGCAGAUUAGGUAGUUGGUGGGAUAAAAGCUUACCAAGCCGACGAUCUGUAGCUGGUCUGAGAGGACGACCAGCCACACUGGGACUGAGACACGGCCCAGACUCCUACGGGAGGCAGCAGUGGGGAAUUUUGGACAAUGGGCGAAAGCCUGAUCCAGCCAUGCCGCGUGCAGGAUGAAGGCCUUCGGGUUGUAAACUGCUUUUGUACGGAACGAAAAGACUCUGGUUAAUACCUGGGGUCCAUGACGGCACCGUAAGAAUAAGCACCGGCUAACUACGUGCCAGCAGCCGCGGUAAGAC